GCCGGACAACAGGUCUACAGAGACUGUCCCGACCUACCCGGAACCGUGGGUCGGCGGUUUUGUAAACCGCAGGUUGUGGGUUCGAGUCCCACCCUGGGCU
rnacentral:tRNA from 1 species